GACGAACGCUGGCGGCGUGCUUAACACAUGCAAGUCGAACGGAAAGGCCCUGCUUUUGUGGGGUGCUCGAGUGGCGAACGGGUGAGUAACACGUGAGUAACCUGCCCUUGACUUUGGGAUAACUUCAGGAAACUGGGGCUAAUACCGGAUAGGAGCUCCUGCUGCAUGGUGGGGGUUGGAAAGUUUCGGCGUUUGGGGAUGGACUCGCGGCGUAUGAGCUGGUUGGUAGGGUAGUGGCUUACCAAGGUUUUGACGGGUAGCCGACCUGAGAGGGUGACCGGCCACACGGGAACUGAGACGCGGUCCAGAGUACUAAGGGAGGCAGCAGUAGCGAAUGGGCGGCAAGGGGGGAAAGCCUGACGGAGCGGCGGCGCGUGAGUGACGAAGGGCCCCGGAUCGGAAAACUGUGUUAGGAGGGAAGAACCAUUGUGGAAGGAAAGGUGCAGAGCUUGACGGUACCUGAUAAGAAAGCCAGGGCUAACUACGUG
rnacentral:rRNA from 1 species